UACGGAGGAUCCAAGCGUUAUCCGGAUUUAUUGGGUUUAAAGGGUGCGUAGGCGGGCAGGUAAGUCAGUGGUGAAAUCCUUGAGCUUAACUCGAGAACUGCCAUUGAUACUAUCUGUCUUGAAUAUUGUGGAGGUAAGCGGAAUAUGUCAUGUAGCGGUGAAAUGCUUAGAUAUGACAUAGAACACCUAUUGCGAAGGCAGCUUACUACGCAUAUAUUGACGCUGAGGCACGAAAGCGUGGGGAUCAAACAGG
rnacentral:rRNA from 1 species